GGAAAGAAAUGUUUGAUACAAAUGAUCAAUUUUACUCUAAGUAAACCUGGUAUACCAUUUACAUGAUCGAAAGCUGUCAUCAUACCACCAGGAACUGCCACGAAAUGUAUAAAAAAGCAACGGCAAUAACAUUGCUUCCGAAGAAAAGUACCUACUAUCUGCUGUACAGACAAGAUGCCACAAUCUCAGCAGCCAUAUCUUUUUCUAAAAGCUUAUCAUCAAAAAUUUCCUCCACCAGGGUAAAUCUCUGAGCUAGAUUAUCACUUCCAACAAGGGCAACACCACUUUCUUGACCACAUUCGAGAAAAGCGUCUACCUCGAUCAUUCAAAUGCAUCAGCUAAAUCUUCUUCUUCUUGUUUCAGGAAGAAUUUCGCUAUCUAAAUCUGAAAGCCUUGAGAAACCACUCAGGUUUUCCAUCUGAAGUGUUGCAUCAGAAACUUCAUUUGAUUGAGAAGAGGAAGGAAGAGAUACAACAGAACUUGCCUCUGCAAUUGAAUCCAGAGUCUGAUGCUCUGAUCGUAUGAUAGCAGCGUCUCUUCUGAGAGAAUUACCUUCAUCAUGACCAAUAGGUGAAACUUGCAAAUUGCUUAUUUCAUGAAUGCGAUCUGUAAUUGACGUUGUAAUGUCCUCAAACAGCCUCUGUACAUUUCCUAAUUCCGAU
rnacentral:misc_RNA from 1 species